GUGUCAGCAGCCGCGGUAAUACGAGGGAUCCUAGCGUUGUUCGGAAUCAUUGGGCGUAAAGGGUGUGUAGGCGGCCAAGUAAGUCAGUUGUGAAAGCCCCGGGCUCAACCCGGGAAGUGCUUCUGAUACUGCUUGGCUUGAGUAUUGGAGAGGUGAGUGGAAUUCCAGGUGUAGUGGUGAAAUACGUAGAUAUCUGGAGGAACACCGGCGGCGAAGGCGGCUCACUGGCCAUAUACUGACGCUGAAACACGAAAGCGUGGGGAUCAAACAGGAUUAGAUACCCUGGUAGUCC
rnacentral:rRNA from 1 species